rnacentral:rRNA from 1 species
ACGAACGCUGGCGGCGUGCCUAACACAUGCAAGUCGAGCGGAGACAGGGAGUAGCUUGCUAUGAACUGUUUUAGCGGCGGACGGGUGAGUAACGCGUGAGCAACCUUUCCCAGACAGGGGAAUAACACACCGAAAGGUGUACUAAUACCGCAUAAGACCACGGGAUCACAUGGUUCUGGGGUAAAAGAUUUAUCGGUUUGGGGUGGGCUCGCGUCCGAUUAGGUAGUUGGUGAGGUAACGGCCCACCAAGCCGACGAUCGGUAGCCGACCUGAGAGGGUGAUCGGCCACAUUGGGACUGAGACACGGCCCAAACUCCUACGGGAGGCAGCAGUGGGGAAUAUUGGGCAAUGGGGGGAACCCUGACCCAGCAACGCCGCGUGGAGGAAGAAGGUUUUCGGAUCGUAAACUCCUGUCCUUGGAGACGAGUAGAAGACGGUAUCCAAGGAGGAAGCCCCGGCUAACUACGUGCCAGCAGCCGCGGUAAUACGUAGGGGGCAAGCGUUGUCCGGAAUAAUUGGGCGUAAAGGGCGCGUAGGCGGCUCGGUAAGUCUGGAGUGAAAGUCCUGCUUUUAAGGUGGGAAUUGCUUUGGAUACUGUCGGGCUUGAGUGCAGGAGAGGUUAGUGGAAUUCCCAGUGUAGCGGUGAAAUGCGUAGAGAUUGGGAGGAACACCAGUGGCGAAGGCGACUAACUGGACUGUAACUGACGCUGAGGCGCGAAAGUGUGGGGAGCAAACAGGAUUAGAUACCCUGGUAGUCCACACUGUAAACGAUGAAUGCUAGGUGUAGGGGGUAUCGACCCCUUCUGUGCCGCAGUCAACACAAUAAGCAUUCCGCCUGGGGAGUACGGCCGCAAGGUUGAAACUCAAAGGAAUUGACGGGGGCCCGCACAAGCAGCGGAGCAUGUGGUUUAAUUCGACGCAACGCGAAGAACCUUACCAGGUCUUGACAUCCACUUAAACUUACAGAGAUGUAAGGUGUGCUUGCACAAAGUGAGACAGGUGGUGCAUGGUUGUCGUCAGCUCGUGUCGUGAGAUGUUGGGUUAAGUCCCGCAACGAGCGCAACCCCUGUUCUUAGUUGCCAGCACGUUAAGGUGGGAACUCUAAGAAGACUGCCGGUGAUAAAUCGGAGGAAGGUGGGGACGACGUCAAAUCAUCAUGCCCUUUAUGUCCUGGGCUACACACGUACUACAAUGGCUGUAACAGAGGGAAGCAAGCUAGUGAUAGCAAGCAAAACCCAAAAAGCAGUCUCAGUUCGGAUUGAAGGCUGAAAUUCGCCUUCAUGAAGCCGGAAUUGCUAGUAAUGGCAGGUCAGCAUACUGCCGUGAAUACGUUCCCGGGCCUUGUACACACCGCCCGUCACACCAUGAGAGUUGGGGAUACCCGAAGCCUGUGAGCCAACAGUUUACUGAGGCAGCAGUCGAAGGUAGAAUCAAUGAUUGGGGUG